rnacentral:rRNA from 1 species
CCUACGGGCGGCAGCAGUGGGGAAUAUUGCACAAUGGGCGCAAGCCUGAUGCAGCCAUGCCGCGUGUGUGAAGAAGGCCUUCGGGUUGUAAAGCACUUUCAGCGGGGAGGAAGGCGGUGAGGUUAAUAACCUCAUCGAUUGACGUUACCCGCAGAAGAAGCACCGGCUAACUCCGUGCCAGCAGCCGCGGUAAUACGGAGGGUGCAAGCGUUAAUCGGAAUUACUGGGCGUAAAGCGCACGCAGGCGGUCUGUCAAGUCAGAUGUGAAAUCCCCGGGCUCAACCUGGGAACUGCAUUGGAAACUGGCAGGCUAGAGUCUUGUAGAGGGGGGUAGAAUUCCAGGUGUAGCGGUGAAAUGCGUAGAGAUCUGGAGGAAUACCGGUGGCGAAGGCGGCCCCCUGGACAAAGACUGACGCUCAGGUGCGAAAGCGUGGGGAGCAAACAGGAUUAGAUACCCGGGUAGUC